ACGAACGCUGGCGGCGUGCUUAACCCCUGCAAGUCGCACGGAAAGGCCCUGCUUUUGUGGGGUGCUCGAGUGGCGAACGGGUGAGUAACACGUGAGUAACCUGCCCUUGACUUUGGGAUAACUUCAGGAAACUGGGGCUAAUACCGGAUAGGAGCUCCUGCUGCAUGGUGGGGGUUGGAAAGUUUCGGCGGUUGGGGAUGGACUCGCGGCUUAUCAGCUUGUUGGUGGGGUAGUGGCUUACCAAGGCUUUGACGGGUAGCCGGCCUGAGAGGGUGACCGGCCACAUUGGGACUGAGAUACGGCCCAGACUCCUACGGGAGGCAGCAGUGGGGAAUAUUGCACAAUGGGCGGAAGCCUGAUGCAGCAACGCCGCGUGCGGGAUGACGGCCUUCGGGUGGUAAACCGCUUUCGCCUGUGACGAAGCGUGAGUGACGGUAAUGGGUAAAGAAGCACCGGCUAACUACGU
rnacentral:rRNA from 1 species